rnacentral:rRNA from 1 species
UACGUAGGGUGCGAGCGUUAAUCGGAAUUACUGGGCGUAAAGCGUGCGCAGGCGGCUUUGCAAGACAGAUGUGAAAUCCCCGGGCUUAACCUGGGAACUGCAUUUGUGACUGCAAGGCUGGAGUGCGGCAGAGGGGGAUGGAAUUCCGCGUGUAGCAGUGAAAUGCGUAGAUAUGCGGAGGAACACCGAUGGCGAAGGCAAUCCCCUGGGCCUGCACUGACGCUCAUGCACGAAAGCGUGGGGAGCGAACAGG